rnacentral:lncRNA from 1 species
AUGGAGGCCAGGUACUGUAAGUGUUCAUGUUUAUGGGAUGUGAUGGAGGCCAGGUACUGUAAGUGUCCAUGUUUAUGGGAUGUGAUGGAGGCCAGGUACUGUAAGUGUUCAUGUUUAUGGGAUGUGAUGGAGGCCAGGUACUGUAAGUGUCCAUGUUUAUGGGAUGUGAUGGAGGCCAGGUACUGUAAGUGUUCAUGUUUAUGGGAUGUGAUGGAGGCCAGGUACUGUAAGUGUCCAUGUUUAUGGGAUGUGAUGGAGGCCAGGUACUGUAAGUGUCCAUGUUUAUGGGAUGUGAUGGAGGCCAGGUACUGUAAGUGUCCAUGUUUAUGGGAUGCUGGAGGUAAUAAUUCCACAAUAAUGACAACUCUCUAUCAGUACAGUUGACUUUUGCUAUUUUCAAGAUGGCUACGGAUAUUAGAUAUUUUCAAGAUGGCUACAGAUAUCAGCUAUUUUCAAGAUGGCUACGGAUAUCAGCUAUUUUCAAGAUGGUUACAGAUAUCAGCUAUUUUCAAGAUGGCUACGGAUAUUAGCUAUUUUCAAGAUGGCUACAGAUAUUAGCUAUUUUCAAGAUGGCUACAGAUAUCAGCUAUUUUUAAGAUGGCUACAGAUAUCAGCUAUUUUUAAGAUGGUUACAGGGUGUCAUAUUUGGCCACCUCAAAGGCUGAUUUAACUUAUUGUCUAUGGUGGUAGAGAAUUGGCUUUGAUGUAAUGGAAGGGGAAUGUCAUUAGUAUGACACACGAGGAAACUGUGGCAACGUGUGCGUGCCAACCCAGAGAAAGGAAUCAUGG